rnacentral:rRNA from 1 species
CACUAGGAACGCACUGCGGAGAACGAGAUAGCUUGUGCGCCACCUAUAAGGGGUUAAAUCGGGUAUGGUUCGUUUGAUCUCUCCAUCUGUUACUUGGAUAACUCUGGUAAUUCUAGAGUUAAUACCUGCUGACGAGCGCUGACUUCCCGAGAUGUGUGCAUUUAUCAGACACAGACUAAUCCGGGCUCGCCCGGCCGCUUUGGUGACUUUAGAUAACCUUGGGCCGACCACACGUCCCUGUGAUGGUGACGAUGCAUUCGGAUGUCUGACCUAUCAACUUUCAAUGAUAUUUUCUGUGCCUACCAUGGUGACCACAGGUAACUGGAAUUCGGGUUCGAUUCUGGAGGAGGAGCCCGAGAAACAGUUACCACAUCCAAAGAACGCAGCAGGUGCGCAAAUUACCCACUCCGGACUCGGGGAGGUAGUGACGAAAAAUAACAAUACAAGACUCUUUUGAGGGCCUGUAAUUGUAAUGAGCACACUUUAAGUCCUUUAACGAGGAUCCAUUGGAGGGCAAGUCUGGUGCUAGCAGCCGCAAAAAUUCCAGCUUCAAUAGCAUAUGUUGAAGUUGCUGCAGUUACAAAGCUCAUAGUUGGAUCUUGGGAUCAAGCUGGCGGUACUCCGCUUGGCGAGCGACCGCCUGUCCCAGCCCCUCCCUCGCCGCCACCUUGAGGCUCUUGACUGAGUGAGCUGGAGGUCCGAAGCGUGUACCUAGUAAAAAGUUUGAGUGUUCAAUGCAAGCCGGUCACCUCAAUACUUCAGCUAGGAAUAAGGGAAUAGGACUCUGGUUCAAAUUUGUUGGUUUUCGGAACAGGGGCCAUGUUUAAAGGGACGGCCAGGGGCAUUCGUGUUAUGCCGCUAGAGGUAUAAUUCUUGGACCCGCGCAAGACGAACAAAAGCAUUUGCCAAGAAUGUUUUCAUUAAUCAAGAAUGAAAACCAGAGGUUCGAAGACUAUCGGAUACUGUCGUAGUUCCGACCAUAAACGAUGCUAACUAGUUAUUCCGCGUCUUUAGUCCUAUUGCCUGCCGAGCAGCUUCCGGGGAACCUUUGGGUUCCGGGGGAGUAUGUUUGCAGAGCUGAAAGGUAAAGGAAUUGACGGAAGUGGCACCACCAGGAGUGGCGCCUGCGGCUUAAUUUGACUCAACAUGGGAAAUCUCACCCAGACACGGAAAGGAUUGACAGAUUGAUACCUGUGGGUGGUCGUGCAUGGCUGUUCUUAGUUGGAGCAAUUUGUCUGGUGUAAAUCCGAUAACGAACGAGACUCCUCCAUGCUAACUAGUUGCGCAACCCCCAGCGGUCAGUGUUCAAAUUCUUAGAAGCACAAGUAGCAUUCAGCCACACGAGAUCAUGCAAUAACACGUCUGUGAUACCCUUAGAUGUCCAGGUCUGCACGUGCGCGACACUGAACAGAUCAGCGUGUGUUUACCUUAGCCGAACCCCGUUCAUGACAGGGAUUGGGGAUUGCAAUUAUUUCCCAUGAACGAGAAUUCCCAGUAAGUGCGGGUCAUAAGCUUGUGUUGAUUAAGCCCCGGCCGGCCUUUUUUGCACACCGCCCGUUGCUGCUACCAAUUGGAUGGUUUAGUGAGGUCCUCGGAUCGUCCCCAGCGGGGAUCGGCAACGGCCCUGUCGGUGUGUGCGAGAAGACGAUUCAAACUUGACUAUCUAGAGGAAGUAAAAGUUGUAACAAAGUUUCCAUAGGCUGAACCUGCAGAAG